rnacentral:rRNA from 1 species
CGCCUGUUUUAUCAAAAACAUGGUUCUAUGCUCUAAAAUUUAGGAUCAGACCUGCUCAAUGUAAAAUAAAUAGCCGCGGUAUUUUAACCGUGCGAAGGUAGCAUAAUAAUUAGGCUAUUAAUUGUAGUCUUGAAUGAAAGGUUUGACGAGGAAAAUUCUUUCUUAUUUAUAAAAUUGAAAUUAAAUUUCCAGUAAGAAUGCUGGUAUUAUAUAAAAAGACGAGAAGACCCUAUUGAGUUUUAUAUUUAGAUUUAGUAAAUAUUUGAUUUUUUUUUAUUUUGUAAUAUUUGGUUGGGGCGACUUUUUUAAUAAAACAUUUUAAUUUAUACAGGUUAGAAUUUUGAUCCAUUAAUAAUGAUUAAUAGAAUAAAUUACCAUAGGGAUAACAGCAUAAUUCAAUUGGAAAGUUCAUAUUGAUAAUUGAGUUUGUGACCUCGAUGUUGGAUUAAGAUUCCUUUUAGGUGCAGGUGCUUAAAUAGGUAGACUGUUCGUCUAUUAAAUUCUUACAUGAUCCGAA